AUACGGAGGGAGCGAGCGUUAAUCGGAAUUACUGGGCGUAAAGCGCGCGUAGGCGGCUUUGUAAGUCGGAUGUGAAAGCCCAGGGCUCAACCCUGGAAUUGCAUUCGAUACUGCACGGCUAGAGUAUGGUAGAGGGAAGUGGAAUUUCCGGUGUAGCGGUGAAAUGCGUAGAUAUCGGAAGGAACACCAGUGGCGAAGGCGACUUCCUGGGCCAAUACUGACGCUGAGGUGCGAAAGCGUGGGGAGCAAACAGGAUUAGAUACCCCAGUAGUCC
rnacentral:rRNA from 1 species